UACAUGGGGUGCAAACGUUGCUCGGAAUUACUGGGCGUAAAGGGCGCGUAGGCGGCCUUCUAAGUCGAACGUGAAAUCCCCGGGCUCAACCCGGGAACUGCGUCCGAUACUGGAAGGCUUGAAUCCGGGAGAGGGAUGCGGAAUUCCAGGUGUAGCGGUGAAAUGCGUAGAUAUCUGGAGGAACACCGGUGGCGAAGGCGGCAUCCUGGACCGGCAUUGACGCUGAGGCGCGAAAGCCAGGGGAGCAAACGGG
rnacentral:rRNA from 1 species